rnacentral:tRNA from 1 species
UCCCUGGUGGGCCAGUGGUUAAGACUCCUUACUGCCCGUGCAGGAAGUGUAGGUUCAAACCCUGCUCAGGGAA